rnacentral:lncRNA from 1 species
CAGCGAUGAGGUAUGUUUCGUAUAUGCAUUGAAUUGGUUGAUUCCUUACAAAUAGUAUUCGCUCAGUCGAUAAAUGAGCUACCGGCCUUUGGCUAAAUUGAUCUUUUGUGUAUGAAUAUAAGGGUCGGUAAUGUGAAGUAAGUAUGAUAUUGAGAAUUUGUGCAUAUGAAAUUAUCCGUUUAGCCAUACGAAUGUUAUACUUUAGUUGUGUCUAAUUUCAUGGCUCAAAACUUACUAAGCAUUAAAUGCUUACUCCGUUUCUUUGAUUCUCUGUUUUAUAGAUUUUGGUUCGUCAGCUAUCGGACUCGGGAUUGUUGAAGUCGAAGUCGUCCACACUAUCAAAGCCCCUUUUGGUACACUUUUGGUUGAACUUUGAAAUGGCAUGUAUAGGACUACCCUUUUUGAUGUUGGUCAUGUACCUUUCGGUAUUGUACAAAUUUGGAUAGCCAUG